GAUGAACGCUGGCGGCGCGCCUAACACAUGCAAGUCGAACGGUUAAGACGCACUUCGGUGCGUGCAUAGAGUGGCGAACGGCUGAGUAACACGUGGGCAACCUGCCCCCCGCACCGGGAUAGCCUCGCGAAAGCGUGAUUAAUACCGGGUACUCCGGCACCUCCGCAUGGCGGUGCCGGGAGAGCGUUAGCGGCGGGGGAUGGGCCCGCGGCCUGUUAGCUAGUUGGCGGGGCAACGGCCCACCAAGGCGAUUAUGGGUAGCCGGGUUGAGAGACCGACCGGCCAGAUUGGGACUGAGACACGGCCCAGACUCCUACGGGAGGCAGCAGUGGGGAAUCUUGCGCAAUGGGGGGAACCCUGACGCAGCGACGCCGCGUGCGGGACGAAGGCCCUAGGGUCGUAAACCGCUUUCAGCAGGGAAGAGGCCGCAAGGUGACGGUACCUGCAGAAGAAGCCCCGGCUAAAUACGUGCCAGCAGCCGCGGUAAUACGUAUGGGGCGAGCGUUAUCCGGAUUCAUUGGGCGUAAAGCGCGCGUAGGCGGCCUGGCAGGCCGGGAGUCAAAUCCGGGGGCUCAACCCCCGCCCGCUCCCGGAACCUCCGGGCUUGAGUCUGGCAGGGGAGGGUGGAAUACCCGGUGUAGCGGUGGAAUGCGCAGAUAUCGGGUAGAACACCGGUGGGCGAAGGCGGCCCUCUGGGCCACGACUGACGCUGAGGCGCGAAAGCUGGGGGAGCGAACAGGAUUAGAUACCCUGGUAGUCCCAGCCGUAAACGAUGGACGCUAGGUGUGGGGGGACGAUCCCCCCGUGCCGCAGCCAACGCACUAAGCGUCCCGCCUGGGGAGUACGGCCGCAAGGCUAAAACUCAAAGGAAUUGACGGGGGCCCGCACAAGCAGCGGAGCAUGUGGCUUAAUUCGAAGCAACGCGAAGAACCUUACCUGGGCUUGACAUUCAGGUGAAGCGGCGGAGACGCCGUGGCCGAGAGGAGCCUGAACAGGUGGUGCAUGGCUGUCGUCAGCUCGUGUCGUGAGAUGUUGGGUUAAGUCCCGCAACGAGCGCAACCCCCGCCGCGUGUUGCCAGCAGGUCAUGCUGGGCACCCGCGCGGGACCGCCGGCGUCAAGCCGGAGGAGGGUGGGGACGACGUCAAGUCAUCAUGCCCCUUAUGUCCAGGGCUGCACACGUGCUACAAUGGCCGGCACAACGGGCUGCGAACCCGCGAGGGCGAGCGAAUCCCUUAAAGCCGGCCCCAGUUCGGACCGGGGGCUGCAACCCGCCCCCGCGAAGUCGGAGUUGCUAGUAAUCGCGGAUCAGCACGCCGCGGUGAAUGCGUUCCCGGGCCU
rnacentral:rRNA from 1 species